rnacentral:rRNA from 1 species
UACGAAGGGGGCUAGCGUUGCUCGGAAUGACUGGGCGUAAAGGGCGCGUAGGCGGUUCGUACAGUCAGACGUGAAAUUCCCGGGCUCAACCUGGGGACUGCGUUUGAUACGUGCGGGCUUGAGUUCGGAAGAGGGUCGUGGAAUUCCCAGUGUAGAGGUGAAAUUCGUAGAUAUCUGGAGGAACACCGGUGGCGAAGGCGGCAUCCUGGACCAACACUGACACUGAGGAGCGAAAGCCAGGGGAGCAAACGGG